rnacentral:rRNA from 1 species
ACGGAAGGCAGCAGUGGGGAAUAUUGGACAAUGGGGGAAACCCUGAUCCAGCGACGCCGCGUGAGUGAAGAAGUAUUUCGGUAUGUAAAGCUCUAUCAGCAAGGAAGAAAAUGACGGUACUUGACUAAGAAGCUCCGGCUAAAUACGUGCCAGCAGCCGCGGUAAUACGUAUGGAGCAAGCGUUAUCCGGAUUUACUGGGUGUAAAGGGAGCGUGGACGGCAAAGCAAGUCUGAAGUGAAAUCCCGGGGCUCAACCCCGGAACUGCUUUGGAAACUGUUUAGCUAGAGUGCAGGAGAGAUAAGCGGAAUUCCUAGUGUAGCGGUGAAAUGUGUAGAUAUUAGGAGGAACACCAGUGGCGAAGGCGGCUUACUGGACUGUAACUGACGUUGAGGCUCGAAAGCGUGGGGAGCAAACAGGAUUAGAUACCCUGGUA